AAGAAAUUUCAGGUGCUUCAGUGGGUAUUGGCUGGUGGUAUAUGGCACAGGGAUUUUUUGAUGUGAUUCAAAUUAUUUACAGCUCUGUUAAGCUAAACCAUAGUUUUGGGAUAAUUUAAAUACUUCUCAUCCGUUUGGACAAAACUGAGGAGAAAUUUGAGUGAAGCUUAAGGCUCUUGUUUCAGCAUUUCCAUGUCGCCAGCUAUUCUUUUGAGAAGUAAAAUAUAAUCCUUUUCCCAUUUGUGCACUAAUAUUAGGAGACUCAACAUUUAAAUAAUGGAUUUGACCUGGGAAUCCUUAGGAUUGAAUUCUUCCUUCUGUUAUAGGCACCCCAGGUCAGAAGCAGAGAUCUCUGAUCAUGUGAUUAGAUAGCUAAAUUGAGGUCCCUUCUUAUUCAAUCCUCUGCUAAUGAAAACAUUUCUGCUUACCUGGGAAUUGAGAUAUUUAGAAAAUUAAAAAGUUCUUAUAUUAAGAUGCCUCUGGAAAGCCUCAAAAUGAGGUCACAGGCCUAGAAGAAAUAUAUACUGCUUUAGAAAUUUAGGCUGUCAAAUGGAAUCUGGAGAAAAAUGCUAUCAGUUUAAUUUCCUCUCUCCCUUUCUUCCCUCUUUGUGACUGGAACAUCUCUCUCUCUUUCUCAUAAUCUAUUUGGAUGCCAGCUUUCUUCCCCUGUGUCCCCCAUUAAUAUAGACAUUUAUGAGUUAUUUGGCUUAAUAACUUUUUAAAUCAAACCUUAUCUUUGAUUGUGGCCAUUAUGUUGCUUAUCUUUCAUGGAGAAUGUCUUCCUGGUUUCAACUGUUUGAUCUAGGAAAUAAUUGAAAAGGGUAUGACUGGAAGCCUCUCCCUACAUGUACUUUUUCUCUUUCCUUACUUUGGUUAUAUGUGAUGACAAACAAGAAUUUUUUACUAAGCCAUACUAUAAAUCAAGCAGACUGAUGUCUGAAAUACAGAAUUUGGUGAGUUCCACAGAAAUCAUUUGGAUGGUUUUAUCAAGCAUACUUUUUCAACCAGACACUAUGAGAUUCUAUUGCUGACCAUGGUAAAUCCUAGAACAGAAGCCUCUUUCUAAAAUCCCAACCUUCUUAAGCAUGCUACGUAAUUGUGCCUUUUAAAAUUUCUUACUAAUGAAGACAUGCCAUUGAUAAUUUCUUAUUAAAUUUAUAAAAUGUUUUAUUUAUAUAAUUUAUAUCUCUCUCAGAAUCAAUGUAAUGAUGGUUUCUUAGAAUAAGUGCCAUGCUCAGUAUGGUCUAACAUUUCUAAUAUGUCAGGUCAUUAUAGUGCUUUCUGUAAUCAAAUUAUUUUAAUUGACAGACUAAGUCUUCUUGUCUGAACACCAGUUAAUUUUAAUUCCUGUCAUUUUCCUCAAAAGAUGGAACUCUUGGCCUAUCCAUGGCAACUUUCAUAGUUGGAACUAGUUUUGCUGAUGAUGUUGACUUCUACUCUUUCCUCUAACCCCUUCGCUGGGUUUGACCAAGGAUGAUGCCAGCAAAGGGCCAGGAAAGUAAAGUGCACAAAAGCAUCCAACAUUAAAAUCCAAAGAAAUAUACAAAAUCUUCAGGAAGAAAAGCUGUAUCGUCUCCCAGACUGGGAGUUUUCCCCACGCCACAUGGUCGUUAGUAAGAUAGGUUGAGGAUUUAUGAUUAUGCUUGUUUAUUUAUAUUGACUAUGAUUAUGUCAUGGGGAAAGUCUGUAGAGCUGUACUACCUCAACAAGUGCAUGACAUCAUAGGCUGAGUAAAAUCACCUUGAUUUGUAACUCAGGGCCACCCUGGGGUUCCAUCCUUCGUGGGCAAACUUGUCUCAAACUUUUUUCUUUCCGCAGUUUUUCUCAAGGUAGAUCUAGGCAAUGUGUUAUCAUGUCCCUAUUUACUGUUUAGUUCUUUUUUAGCAUUUUUUCUUAUUAUAAUAUGAAUAGAAUUAGGUAGAUGCCAUUCAUCUAACUGGUAGAUGCUCCCCAAACUGGGUCAACUGGGAGCACCAGUCAUGGAGUAUAAUCUCAGUAGACCAUUCUAUUUAGUCGAACUUCAGAUCUGUUCAUCCCACUAUAGUGGAUGAAAGAAUAUAAACUGUCUUCUAUUUUUUCCUUUUCUUGCCUCUGUUUCCCAAAUUAUCCCAUGAACUUAUCAUCUUUUGCAUUCUGGUUUUUACUACUAAAGCCUAACACUUUUCACUUCCUCAGUUGGAUGGAUUUUCCUACUAAUGUGUAACUUAAGAUGCUACUCAAAAAAAAAACAGUAACUAUCAAACACUUUUCAAUUUUUGAUCUAAAGAAUUCUAGUAUUAUAAGAUAUUAACAUAUACUACUAAAGAGUUUUAUGAGAUUAAACAUGUUAGAAAAAUAAUACAUAUCACUCUUUUUUGGAAAUUUACCAUAUAAAAUAUUAAACAGUCCAGGAAAUCUUAAAGAGACCUGCUUAAUUUUUUCCAGUCUAACAUUUAUGAAACAUUUGAGCACAUAUUUUUUCACUCUACCUCCUAUUAACACUAUGUGCAACAGCAUUGUGUGAAAUAAUUGUAAGGAAAUGAUUUUUAUAUUUAUAGUAGGGGUAGUUUUGAAGUCAUACAGACAGCUUUGCCACCUACUUGCUGUGCUAUUUGAUAUGCUUAAUACUUCUGUGCCUCAGUGUUCUCUCAUGUAAAAUGGAGAUUACCUAUUCUACUGACUUCAUGGGGUUAACAUAAGGACUGUAUUAGUUAGGGUUCUUCAGAGAAAUAGAACCAAUAAAAUGCACACAUACAUUUAUUAUAAGGAAUUGGUUCACAUAUUUAUGAAGGCUGAGAAGUUCUGAGAUCUGCAAUUGGCUUUGGUAAGCUGGAGACCCUGGAGAGAAAAUGUACAGUCCCUUUCUUUCUGAAUCCGUAUCUAAUCAGGAAAGCCAAUGGUAUAAAGUUCCCCAAAAGGCUCAAGACUCAAGAAGAACCAAUGUUUCAUUUCAAGUCUGAAGGCCAGGUAGUUCUGAUGUCCCUGUUCAAGAGGAGUUCCCUCUCAGUCUUUUUGAUUGAUUCAGUCUUCAAGUGAUUGGAUGAGGCUCACCCACAUGGGAGCAGGCCUCAAAUGUGAAUCUCAUCUAGAAGUACCCUCACAGAAACACUCAGUAUCAGGUUUGGCCAAAUGUCCAGAUAACUGGGGGUCCAGUCAAAUUGACACAUAAAAUUAACCAUCACAAGAACCUAAUGAGAAAAUGUGAAUAAAAUUAUUUGUACAAUUCCUGAAACAGAGUCAAUAAUAGGUAAUGUUGGAUAUUAUUAUCAUGAUCAUGAUCAUCACCAUCACCACAAUUGUCAUUGUCAUUGGUAUCUUAAAAGCUUAGUAUGUUCCUAUUCUCAGAAUCUUUUCUACUUCAAAGAAGAAACCCUUGACUAAUAACAGAAGGAAACUAGCAGAUAAAUAUUCUCUUUUGUCCUUUGACUGGAAAGUUCUAAAGCUUAUUUUACAUAGGUCCUCAAGGGGUCUCCAGUGAGAUAGAAUCCCCAUUAAUGACAGCAGUGACUAAACUGCUAAGCCACCUUUGGGUUGACUUUCCUUCUUUCCCAAAUUCCUAGUCCCAACUUCUAUUCCUUGGGAUCAUUUCCCAAAAUAAACUCUUUGCUUGCAAGCUCUAGUCUUAAGCUCUGCUUCCUUUUGGAACCCAAGCUAAGACACAUAGCCAAAAGUCAGGAGAAGAAUUAAUACUCAUUUUUACCCUAAUUAUAGUCACUGCAAUGAUGGUGUAGAAAAGUUUAUGAUAUAACAUGCGAAAUGAUUUCAGAGUACAAGAAAAUAGUUUUUCAAGUAGCAUUCAGCCUAAGAGUUAUGCUUUCAUAACAGGAGCCAUGGCAGUCUCUCAAAAUCCUCUAAGAGCUUAGAAAAUAUUUUGUGGAAGUGAAACACAGGCUAUUUACAAGCAGUUACAACAGACCUAUUUGUAAAAGUGGGCAUGAAUUGCACUUACAGGUUUUGUAUUAACCUGUAUUUUCUCAAAUUGAUAAAAGCUCUGUCUUUGAAGUCUGAACUUUGAAUAAUGUGAGCAGAGGCUGCAGAUUUUUACAGUGUGUGUAUUAGUCCUGGUCUAAGGCACAGACCAAUCUAGAAUGGACUGAUGUGGAAUUGUAUGAGGACAGCAUCUGAAUACAGAAGACAAUUAUGUAUUGCAUACAAUUUGAAUGAUGACAGAAAAAGAAGCCUCAGCCGCUUUACUUUUUUAAGGCUGCCAAAGAUGUAGACUUUUGCCAAUGUCCUUGUGAGAUAUUGUGGCAACAGAAGACAUCAGACUCACCAACUGUGUAUAUUUUUUGCUAUAGACACAUUUAAUUUUGAAUGUCAUUGUUUAAUAAAACAUGCAUAAUUCAUCCCAAAGUAUUGUUUUAUUUCUUCUCAGAUGCCUCUUAUUUUCCAAAGCUGCAAGUUAAACCUUCCAUAUUUUUUUAGGGUUAUAGAAUUGAAUCAAUGGGCCUCAAGUGAAAGGAAGAUCAUGAAGGCUGUGCCUAGAAAAGGCUGGAGGGUGGCAUAUGGGGUGAGAAGCAAAGGGUGGUUCACAGACUAUCAUCUGCCUCCAAGUUACUACGGAUCAUCUGAUGUUGAAAGCUCCCCUGAACUGGAUUUCCUGGAGGAAAAGCCUGUGACCAUGGGCACGUAGGGAGUGUCCUCCUAUGGCUGUGGGCCCCAACACCCCUCACUUUCAAGCUUGUCCAUACCCAGUCUCCAGCAAUUUGUCAAAAACACCUUUUGGUUUUCAUACCAGCUUAUGACAUCUAGC
rnacentral:lncRNA from 10 species